rnacentral:rRNA from 1 species
CCUACGGGUGGCAGCAGUAGGGAAUCUUCCACAAUGGGCGAGAGCCUGAUGGAGCAACGCCGCGUGGGUGAAGAAUGUCUUCGGAUCGUAAAACCCUUUUGUUAGAGAAGAAAGUGCGUGAGAGUAACUGUUCACGUUUCGACGGUAUCUAACCAGAAAGCCACGUCUAACUACGUGCCAGCAGCCGGGGUAAUACGUCGGUGCCAAUCGUUAUCCGGUUUGUUUGGGCGUAAAGGGGACGCAUGCGGGCUUUUUAGUCCGAUGGGAAAGGCGUCGGCUUAACCGGAGUAGUGCAUUGGAAACUGGGAGACUUGAGUGCAGAAGAGGAGAGUGGAACUCGAGGUGUAGCGGUGAAAUGCGUAGAUAUAUGGAAGAACACCAGUGGCGAAAGCAGCUCUCUGGUCUGUAACUGACGCUGAGGUUCGAAAGCGUGGGUAGCAAACAGGAUUAGAUACCCUAGUAGUC